ensembl:misc_RNA 7SK 7SK RNA
GUGAGGGGGAUCUGGGUGUGACAUCUGUCACCCCAUUGAUGGCCAGGGUUGAUUCAGCUGAUCUGGCUGGCUAGCCGGGUGUCCCCUUCCUCCCUCCAUGUGUGUCCCUCCUGAAGCUGCAGGCUCAGUUGAAGAGGAUGGUCUCCCCAAAUAGAGACGGACCGGUCUUCGGUCGACGGUAUACGAGUAGCUGCGCUCCCCUGCGAGAACCUCCAAACAAGCUCUCAGGGAAGAUGUUCCAGAUAUCAGUCAAAUAGAAAGUUACAUUGUGAGAUCUCUUAAACUGUGAGAAAUCCAUUU